AUCCAGCCAACGAGUCCCAAACAGGACGAAACGCGAGUCCUGGAC
rnacentral:hammerhead_ribozyme from 1 species